AUUGCAAUAGGUGAAAAACAAUGUGGAAUUGCUUGCUAAAUCUAUUAAGAAACAAGAUGAAAUCAAAUCAAAUUGUAAAAGAAGUUGGCUGAACGCAUCGAAGAAUAGGAAAAGAGAAAGGAAUAACAACAGAAAACGAGAAAAGCAAACACUAAGAAAAAGAAAACUGAAAAUAAAGAACAUAAACCGAAUGAACACCUCACACUUAACAGGGAAAAAGCUGGAAUUGUCUGAUAAGACAACGAAAAUCAAACUUAAACGGAAGUUAGAGGGAAUGAACAAGAAAUUAAAAAGGAAAAGUAAGAAGAAGAGGUCCUGAAUUGCCAAACAUGCUCGAGCCACCAAGGCAGCAUCUGUGUCAUCAACCUCUGGUCUUUCAGAGUUUGUUAAAACAGAAAUUCCUGAAGCAAGACUAGCAAGUACACUGGCAACACCAAUUUUUAACAGUGGAGGCUGCCUAGUUUCCGGCAAAUUUGACUUUGGAGAACUAUCUAAUUCCUCACCCAUUCUGAAUAAGACCACUUUAGAUCCAGAAGUGGCAACGAUUAAAAUGAAAGAAAAUAAAACUUAAACCAAAAAUGAAAAUCUUGGUAGGCCAAGCUGAAGUUGAAAAUGCAAGAAGUAUUGAAGAGAAACAGGCACGAAAUGGUGCUCUGCAAAUAGCUGAAGGUUUUCAGGUAAAAGACUAUGUGGAAUUGCUUGCCAAACCGAAUAAUGAACGAGAUCAAAUCAAAUCAGAGAGUAACAAAAAUUGCGCUGAACGAAUCGAAGAAAAGGAAAAGAGAAGGGAAUAACAACAGAAAAGGAGAAAAGCCAACAUUAAGAAAAAGAAAACUGAAAAGAAAGAACAUAAAGUGAAUAAACUAAAGAAAAAAGGCAAAUUUAUCGCAUGAAAAACUGAUACUGACUGAUGGAUCAGCUAAACUUGUGUUCUUUCAUGUGCAGCCAUGUCGUGAUAGUUUUUUAGAAAAAUACACUGAUAUGCCUUCCAUGA